AAAACGCACAGCCUCCCCGAAACUAUUUGCUGCUCUCGCUUCGCUUCUCCGCAAGGAUACCUUCAUUUUCCACUGCUGAAAGCGUCUUCGUUAUCGCACCCCGAAAUACGAUAUGGUUUCGGAUUCUGACCUCGUGACUCGCCUUCGCGAAAUUCUCCGGACUUCCGACCUUGACACCGCCACAGCUGGCAGUGUCCGUAGGAAGUUGGAGGAGGAUUUCGGCCUCGAUUUGUCGGACCGGAAAGUGUUUAUCAGGGAACAAAUCGACCUUUACCUCGAAACCCUACAUAACGAACAUAACGACGAAGAUGAAGAAGAAAAUAUGGCAGAGAAGGUGAAUCAGAAUAACGAAGGCAAUGAAAACGACGCCGUUGAAGAAGAAGAAGAGGUGGAAGAGGAGGAAGAAGAAGACGAGAGUGACGAACAGGGAACUAAAAUAAAAAGGUCAAAUAAGGCUGAAAAAGAAGGCAAGAAAAGAGGAGGUGGCUUUACGAAGCUAUGUUCCCUAUCUCCACAACUUCAAAAGUUUCUUGGGGUGUCUGAAUUAGCUAGAACUGAGGUUGUGAAAAAACUUUGGGCCUAUAUCAGGGAGAACAACUUGCAGGAUCCAAAGAAUAAGCGAAAUAUAAAAUGUGAUGAAGCAUUGCAUGAUCUUUUUCGUGUAAAUUCGAUUAAUAUGUUUCAAAUGAAUAAAGCCCUGUCCAAGCAUAUUUGGCCAUUGACUGCAGAAGCUGAACAUGAAAAGCUGAAGGAAAAAGGUGAAGAUGGUAGUGAUUCUGUGUCAGAAGGUGAUGAUCCAGGCGAAGAACAGGAAGAUGAAGAGGAAGAGGAAUAUGUAGAGAAAGAGGGUACUGAACAAAGCAAGAAAGGAGGGUCUUAUAAGGUGGAUAAAGAUGUUAAGAAAAGAGGAGGUGGCUUUACUAAAUUGUGCAGCCUUUCUCCACAACUUCAAGAGUUCACUGGCGUGCCUGAAUUGGCCAGAACAGAGGUUGUGAAGAAGCUUUGGGCUUAUAUUCGGGAGAAAGAUUUACAAGAUCCAAAGAACAAGCGGAAUAUAAUAUGUGAUGAAUCAUUGCGUGCUCUCUUUCGUGUUGAUUCUAUCAAUAUGUUUCAAAUGAAUAAAGCAUUGUCCAAGCACAUAUGGCCAUUAAAUGAGGAAGAUGCUCCAGACAACUCUAUACAAAAGGAAAGACAGUGCAAGCACGGAAGAGAAGAAGGUUCAAAAGAGCCAAAGCAGAAGGAAAAACGGCAGAAGAAGGGAGCUUCUGGUCUUCUUGUUCCCCUUCCUCUUUCAGAUGCACUUGUAAAAUUUUUUGGCACUGGCGAAAAUACAUUAUCUCGGGCUGAUGUCGUAAAGAGAAUGUGGGAAUACAUAAAACAAAAUGAUCUGCAGGAUCCAUCUGAUAAGAGGAGAAUCAUUUGCGAUGAAAAGUUGAAAGAACUAUUUGAGGUUGACUCGUUCAAUGGCUUCUCAGUUUCAAAGCUCCUGACUGCUCAUUUCAUCAAGAUGGAACAGUGAGUUGCUUAUUUGUACAUAAGCAAGCCCUUUGGAGGCAGCAAUUUUGUUUUUGUCUACAAUAUGUUGCGGCACCCUGUAUGCUUCUUGUUCAAGUAAUGGAAAUGGUUUUUAAGAAAAUCUUGAGUUAUUCUUGCCAUUAUUUUUAGCAUCUAUUAUUUUCUUUCACCCAUCAGGUUUGUGUAAAAGUUUUCUUUUUUAUUUUCCAACUUUUUUUUAGUUGAAUUUGUGUCACUUUGACAUGGAGAGGGGUAAUAUAGGGGUGUCUGACUCCUUUACAUGAUUGGCUAAAUGUGGGACAUCUCCUAGAAUUUGAAUGUAAAGAUUUUCCACAUGGAAAGUUAGCUUGCCAUUUGUCUUGUUGCAGGAGCCAGGGACCUUAAGCUCAAGAAAAUUUUCAUACCUCGUUUGGUUCUUUGCAACAUAUUUUGUCUCUCUAAACAUAAAUGAUGUCCUCGUGCCUUCUGUGUUGUCCAGUUGAUAGGCUUAACCAGUAGUGAAAUUUUAUGUUAGCUUACAAAAUCAGCAUGGUGUAGGUGUGGCUUCAAAUGUGUGAUCGUCUGUUCCUGCGUAUAUGAUUCAUUUUUACUUUGAUGCCAAAAUUAACAAGUCCACUAAUUGAGAUCAUUGUGCAAAUGCUAUAACUUUCCUAGCAGUAGAUUUACUGUCUUGGCCUUACUGUCUUGGCCUCACUGUGGAAGCUGAGCAGGCGUAGGGCUACAUAAACAUAACGUGUCUUGUCUAGCGGAAUAUGAAUCCAAUAUAUAAAAUUUUUUCCAUCCUCUCUUUAUGGGUUUAGCCGAAGCAUGAAGGAAAGGGGGUGGGGAUGCAUCUUCGAGCAAGUGGGAGAGAGGAAUAUUGUUUUUGUGGACCUAGAAAAGUUGAUUGAAUUGGGAUGGAUGGUGUACAAAGAAUGCAUUUGUCACGAUGUGUAUCUCACUUCACUUGUUCUGAAUUGGGAGAAUUUUGUUGA
rnacentral:misc_RNA from 1 species